CAUACUUUUCUUGUCCUGGCAAUGUUUUAUAAGAGUUGAGAAAAUACAGACAGAAUAUGUAGUCUUUGUUUUUGAUAUGCCAGUGUCAGAUAUCAAUUGUUACUUUCCGUAUAAAAUAAAUAUACCAUUAUUAGAUGCUCUUUUUAACAUGUCGAUCCGUAGCUUUAUAAUUUUUUAAAAUCUUCAACCUUAACCCCUUGACCUACACGCUAUCUGCCGAUCGCGCGAGCCAUAGUAAGCAAGAAUUUCGGUCGCGCGCCGUGCCAUUCAUCUGUUCAGCCGUGUGCUACAAAAGGAAUUGUGAAAUAAUAAACGUUUGAGGACAAAUACUGUUUUUAAGACGUCUAGGGUGUAAUCAUGAUCAAUUGAUCAGUUAACAAACACAAUUUAUUAUUUCAAAGUGGAUAAUGAAUCACUAGCAAUUUGUAAAUUACCACGAGUCAGACUCGUGGUUUUUGCUUAUGGCACAAAUCCCUUACCACGAGUCUCGCUCGUGGUUAUAGGCCAAGGGGUUAAAAUGUCGCUUCAAAAUGGAGCAAACGAAGAGCAAUUUGGAAAACACUAUCGCGCUAUGAGUGUGAAAAUUGUAAAAAUGGGUCUAUGUGUCGUACCGUGCUUUAAAAUAUAUCACACUCAAUUGUAUUAUUAAUUGUUAAGGAAAAUUAUUAAACUCUUCGGUAUGGCUGAAUUUUGCGCGGAGCUGUUUCUUUGUUUGACG